CAGAUUCACAAUACCGAGCGUGUCUCAAACCGUCCCGCGCUUUUAUCUGCCUAAAGGUAUCUUCACCCACGACUGGAAAGGCCUUUUAGAUACGCUUGUCCAAGGCCCAAGACAUAAAGUCGCCUGAAAGCUGUGUAGCAAUAAUUCCAGCUCCUGACCCAUAGGAUGGUAAUCACAUACAUGAUUGGCUUAAUCAAGAAUCAUGGAUACCUUUCAUAACUCAUCACAAGUUGGAACUAGUGGUCAACAUUGGGACAAUGCAGCC